rnacentral:rRNA from 1 species
CGGCAGGCCUAAUACAUGCAAGUCGAGGGGUAGAGAGAGCUUGCUUUCUUGAGACCGGCGCACGGGUGCGUAACGCGUAUGCAACCUACCUUUAUCUGGGGGAUAGCCCGGAGAAAUCCGGAUUAAUACCGCAUAAAAUCACAGAAUAGCAUUAUUUAAUGAUCAAACAUUUAUGGGAUGAAGAUGGGCAUGCGUGUCAUUAGCUAGUUGGCGGGGUAACGGCCCACCAAGGCGACGAUGACUAGGGGAUCUGAGAGGAUGGCCCCCCACACUGGUACUGAGACACGGACCAGACUCCUACGGGAGGCAGCAGUAAGGAAUAUUGGUCAAUGGAGGCAACUCUGAACCAGCCAUGCCGCGUGCAGGAAGACUGCCCUAUGGGUUGUAAACUGCUUUUAUCCGGGAAUAAACCUUUCUACGUGUAGGAAGCUGAAUGUACCGGAAGAAUAAGGAUCGGCUAACUCCGUGCCAGCAGCCGCGGUAAUACGGAGGAUCCAAGCGUUAUCCGGAUUUAUUGGGUUUAAAGGGUGCGUAGGCGGCCUGUUAAGUCAGGGGUGAAAGACGGUAGCUCAACUAUCGCAGUGCCCUUGAUACUGAUGGGCUUGAAUGGACUAGAGGUAGGCGGAAUGAGACAAGUAGCGGUGAAAUGCAUAGAUAUGUCUCAGAACACCGAUUGCGAAGGCAGCUUACUAUGGUCUUAUUGACGCUAAGGCACGAAAGCGUGGGGAUCAAACAGGAUUAGAUACCCUGGUAGUCCACGCCCUAAACGAUGAACACUCGCUGUUGGCGAUACACAGUCAGCGGCUAAGCGAAAGCGUUAAGUGUUCCACCUGGGGAGUACGCCCGCAAGGGUGAAACUCAAAGGAAUUGACGGGGGCCCGCACAAGCGGAGGAGCAUGUGGUUUAAUUCGAUGAUACGCGAGGAACCUUACCCGGGCUUGAAAGUUAGUGAAUGAUCUAGAGAUAGAUCAGUGAGCAAUCACACGAAACUAGGUGCUGCAUGGCUGUCGUCAGCUCGUGCCGUGAGGUGUUGGGUUAAGUCCCGCAACGAGCGCAACCCCUAUGUUUAGUUGCCAGCAUGUAAUGAUGGGGACUCUAAACAGACUGCCUGUGCAAACAGAGAGGAAGGAGGGGACGACGUCAAGUCAUCAUGGCCCUUACGUCCGAGGCUACACACGUGCUACAAUGGAUGGUACAGAGGGCAGCUAGCUGGCAACAGUAUGCGAAUCUCACAAAGCCAUUCACAGUUCGGAUUGGGGUCUGCAACUCGACCCCAUGAAGUUGGAUUCGCUAGUAAUCGCGUAUCAGCAAUGACGUGGUGAAUACGUUCCCGGGCCUUGUACACACCGCCCGUCAAGCCAUGGAAGUUGGGGGUACCUAAAGUAUGUAACCGCAAGGAGCGUCCUAGGGUAAAACCGAUAACUGGGGCUAAGU